AUUGCUGUGAGUCAUUAAAGAUGGCGGAAUUGUCUAGGUAAGAGAAAUAGAGACUGAGAGGUCAUCUGCCUCGUGGAAGCAAUCGCAAAUCUGAAGAAGCGCUUUGUAAUCCAGGUUGUAGUGGUUUGGAAACCCUGUGCAGAAUGUCCUGGAGAUGGCUGUACUUGGAGCAAAUGCUGGGCAAGAAACUUACUUACUUACUUACUCACUUACUUAGUCAGUCCAUAGAUGUAGGAGAAAGGGAUUGGAAACGGAAGUAGAUUUCAAUGUACUUCACAUAUGACCUCGAUAAACAUCCUCGCCUCGCUUAAUGAGGGCUAAUUUAUUCCCCAGUAACCUCACGGGUAACUGAGAUUAUUGCAAAUCUAGGAUUUUAUGAGUUGUCACUAGUAUUCUGUCAAGUUUUCCAGUAUCCAGUGCAACUGUGCUUUAUAUAGAUAGUGAAUAACCAUUAUUCAAGCUCUAUUUACCGUUGCAACUAUCUUCUUCAUUGAAUUUAGCAAUACCUCGCAAGCCAAAACGUACUGAGUACGCUGAAGAAAAGAAGACAGAAGAAUACCGAAAAAUACUCCUCCUCUCUACACCCCUACACGUCACCGCCCUCGUAAAUGUUAUUGGCUGUUCCGGCUAUAUAUACACUCUUGUAUACCUCACCAGCUUCUCUCCAUCUAAGACUGUCUGAUAGAGUGCUAAACUAAUCAUAAUUAUAGCUGUAAUAAUCAUUUUUAUCGUGUAAGUUGUUAAUGUUCGGUUUGAUCCCACUCGUUUUACACUUAGAAAGCAACUGGCAGUGCUGUGGAGUGUUUUGCUGUCUCCAACUGUAUGUAAUUAUACUUAAUGAAUUGGAAAUUGAAAUGUACGCUCACCAGCCUAGUAUAUAUAGAAACUUCGUACAACUGAUUCAUCAAAAGUGAAAACAAUUAAGAAAGUUACAUGGUGUAUUAUGUAUCUUGUCGUGUGAAUGAUCAUGGUUAUUGCCUCAAACUA